AUUGAUCCACCUAAAAUAAAUUAUACGUAACUUAUAAUUGAUAUUUUUCCUAUGUACCUAGAUUCCCAUCAUUGUCACGCUCGUAAUAUUUUAUGGCUACCUCAAGGCUAUCGUACAAUGGAUUUCCAACAAAGGAUAAAUCUCGGAUAUUUGAAAUCCAAAGUUCCUCUAAAGUAUCACCAAGUGAUUCAAGACCUGAAAAGCUUUUCACCACGUUACGACUCAACGACAAGAUCUUUAAGUUUUUCAAUGUUCCAAUUCCUACAAAAUAAUCCAAUUUAUUUUGUAUAUAUAUAUAUAUAUUUUAUAAAUAUAUAUAUAUAUAUUUAUAAA